GGGAACCGGACCCUUCGGGGAGCCUAUACAGGUGUUGCAUGGCUGUCGUCAGGCUCGUGUCGUGAGAUGUUCGGUUAAGUCCGCUAACGAGCGCAACCCUCGUCGUAUGUUAUAUGUGUCAUACGAGACUGCCGGUAAAAGCCGGAGGAAGGUGAGGAUGAUGUCAAGUCAGCAUGACCUUUAUAUCCAGGGCUACACACACGCUACAAUGGUCUGUACAAUGGGUAGCCAAGCCGCGAGGCGGAGCCAAUCCUGAAAGCAGGCCUCAGUUCAGAUUGCAGUCUGCAACUCGACUGCAUGAAGCCGGAGUUGCUAGUAACCGCAGGUCAGCAAUACUGCGGUGAAUACGUUCCCGGGUCUU
rnacentral:rRNA from 1 species